UACGUAGGGGGCAAGCGUUGUCCGGAAUCAUUGGGCGUAAAGCGCGUGUAGGCGGUCCGGUAAGUCGGUUGUGAAAGUCCAGGGCUCAACCCUGGGAUGCCGACCACUACUGUCGGACUAGAGUUCGGAAGAGGCGAGUGGAAUUCCCGGUGUAGCGGUGAAAUGCGCAGAUAUCGGGAGGAACACCAAUGGCGAAGGCAGCUCGCUGGGACGUUACUGACGCUGAGACGCGAAAGCGUGGGGAGCAAACAGG
rnacentral:rRNA from 1 species